rnacentral:rRNA from 1 species
UACGUAGGCAGCGAGCGUUGUUCGGAGUUACUGGGCGUAAAGGGUGUGUAGGCGGUUGUUUAAGUUUGGUGUGAAAUCUCCCCGGCUCAACUGGGAGGGUGCGCCGAAUACUGAAUGACUUCGAGUGCGGGAGAGGAGAGUGGAAUUCCUGGUGUAGCGGUGAAAUGCGCAGAUAUCAGGAAGAACACCCCGUGGCGAAGGCGGCUCUCUGGAACGCAACUGACGCUGAGACGCGAAAGCGUGGGGAGCAAACAGG